rnacentral:tRNA from 1 species
UCCAGGGUAGCUUAGUGGACAUGGCAUCUGCCCGGUAAGCGGAACACUGUGGGUUCGAUUCUCAUCCCUGGAG